GUGCCUAAUACAUGCAAGUAGAACGCUGAAGACUUUAGCUUGCUAAAGUUGGAAGAGUUGCGAACGGGUGAGUAACGCGUAGGUAACCUGCCUACUAGCGGGGGAUAACUAUUGGAAACGAUAGCUAAUACCGCAUAACAGCAUUUAACACAUGUUAGAUGCUUGAAAGGAGCAAUUGCUUCACUAGUAGAUGGACCUGCGUUGUAUUAGCUAGUUGGUGAGGUAACGGCUCACCAAGGCGACGAUACAUAGCCGACCUGAGAGGGUGAUCGGCCACACUGGGACUGAGACACGGCCCAGACUCCUACGGGAGGCAGCAGUAGGGAAUCUUCGGCAAUGGGGGCAACCCUGACCGAGCAACGCCGCGUGAGUGAAGAAGGUUUUCGGAUCGUAAAGCUCUGUUGUAAGAGAAGAACGUGUGUGAGAGUGGAAAGUUCACACAGUGACGGUAACUUACCAGAAAGGGACGGCUAACUACGUGCCAGCAGCCGCGGUAAUACGUAGGUCCCGAGCGUUGUCCGGAUUUAUUGGGCGUAAAGCGAGCGCAGGCGGUUUAAUAAGUCUGAAGUUAAAGGCAGUGGCUUAACCAUUGUUCGCUUUGGAAACUGUUAGACUUGAGUGCA
rnacentral:rRNA from 1 species